GCCGUGUCUCAGUGUUUAAAACCUGAUGCAACAUGUGUGAACUCGUGGUUUGAGCUUUUCUAGGAAUGAUGAUGAUUGUUACAAUUACAAGUUAAUGACCUUGUGACUCAACCUUUUUCUUUUUUUCUUCUAAAGCAGCCAAACACACUGAAGGAACUUAGCAAAGAGGCCACAAGCUCAAGUUCAAACUACAGAACGUGACUGAGGAAGAGCUACUGCUGGCAGCUGAAGGAGUGUUGGAACAUAAUGUCUGACACUAAUGACUUCUGCUAGAAGAGCUUUGAUGACAGAAGGGCCUACAGGCUAAACCUCUUCCCAUGUCACAAACGCCUGACUGAAGACACGUACCUUCAAACACUGCAGUGUGAUUAGAAACAUGGAACUGGGUCUGUUUAUAAUAAUAAAGUUGUGUGCAGUGAUAA